AUGUUUGCAUAUCUAACAAUAGAUUCUGCAAGCAAUCCCGGAGUGAAUUCAGAGAUCCUACAAGAGGAUGAACAACGAGCUCAACAACAACUAGAGGCUGGCGAGCAUGUACUUACAUGGGUCAGGCGAGAGAAAAACGAUCGCCUGGAUGCCAAUACCCGGCUGGGCAUGGAAUUGAAAGAUGUUCGGGCCCAGCUUGCUGACUCCGUGAAGGAGAAUAGGAGGCUUCAACGCGGCAUUUUUAGUAUACUGACUGGUCGCCCCGAAGAGGAGAUGCCCGGAUCCGUAGGCGAUCUUCUGCAAGAGCUUUCGCAACUGCACGAACAAGUUCGGCAGGUGAUGCAGGAUAUUGCCAAGGCCUUGUGGCCAUCCGCCUCCCUGCCAGGGAGCAUGGGAGAGCUUGUACAACUGCUCAAGGGAGCGCGGCGGCGCUUCUGA
rnacentral:rRNA from 1 species